GACGAACGCUGGCGGCGUGCCUAAUACAUGCAAGUCGAACGAGAGCAACCGGUGCUUGCACUGGUCAAUCUAGUGGCGAACGGGUGAGUAACACGUGGGUAACCUGCCCAUCAGAGGGGGAUAACAUCCGGAAACGGAUGCUAAAACCGCAUAGGUCUUCGAACCGCAUGGUUUGAAGAGGAAAAGAGGCGCAAGCUUCUGCUGAUGGAUGGACCCGCGGUGCAUUAGCUAGUUGGUGAGGUAACGGCUCACCAAGGCCGUGAUGCAUAGCCGACCUGAGAGGGUGAUCGGACACAUUGGGACUGAGACACGGCCCAAACUCCUACGGGAGGCAGCAGUAGGGAAUCUUCCGCAAUGGACGCAAGUCUGACGGAGCAACGCCGCGUGAGUGAAGAAGGUGUUCGGAUCGUAAAACUCUGUUGUUAGAGAAGAACAAGUGCUAGAGUAACUGUUAGCGCCUUGACGGUAUCUAACCAGAAAGCCACGGCUAACUACGUG
rnacentral:rRNA from 1 species